GAUGAACGCUGGCGGCGUGCCUAAUACAUGCAAGUCGAGCGAACAGACGAGGAGCUUGCUCCUCUGACGUUAGCGGCGGACGGGUGAGUAACACGUGGAUAACCUACCUAUAAGACUGGGAUAACUUCGGGAAACCGGAGCUAAUACCGGAUAAUAUAUUGAACCGCAUGGUUCAAUAGUGAAAGACGGUUUUGCUGUCACUUAUAGAUGGAUCCGCGCCGCAUUAGCUAGUUGGUAAGGUAACGGCUUACCAAGGCAACGAUGCGUAGCCGACCUGAGAGGGUGAUCGGCCACACUGGAACUGAGACACGGUCCAGACUCCUACGGGAGGCACCAGUAGGGCAUCUUCCGCAAUGGGCGAAAGCCUGACGGAGCAACGCCGCGUGAGUGAUGAAGGUCUUCGGAUCGUAAAACUCUGUUAUUAGGGAAGAACAAAUGUGUAAGUAACUAUGCACGUCUUGACGGUACCUAAUCAGAAAGCCACGGCUAACUACGUG
rnacentral:rRNA from 1 species